rnacentral:misc_RNA from 1 species
UUCGAAAUUUCAAAAAAUUUCACCAUGAAAAAUCAAGUUUUCGUCGUUUUCGCCACCUCGUUGCCGGGAAAACGUAAACAAUUUUUUGUAUUACAAGAAAAUAUUUUGAAAAAUAACAAAAAAAAGUUUGUGUGAGUGUGUAGUGCUAGUGUAAGUGGAACAAUUAUUUAAAAUAAGUUGAAAAAGUAGAAAUGAACAACAUUCCAUCGCAGGGCGUUAUGUUUCCCAUGGGAUCGCUUUAUGUGGGAGAUUUACAUCCUGAUGUGACCGAAGCCAUGCUCUACGAAAAGUUUUCCACAGCUGGACAAGUGUUGUCUCUGAGAAUAUGCCGCGACUCUAGAACGAAGCAGUCUCUGGGCUACGGCUACGUAAAUUUCAACAGCCCCCACGACGCCGAAAGGGCCCUGGACACAAUGAACUUCGACCCUUUGAAGGGAAAACCGAUCAGAAUCAUGUGGUGCCAGCGGGAUCCGUCCUUGAGAAAAUCGGGCAUCGGCAACGUGUUCAUCAAGAACCUGGACAAGAACAUCGAUAACAAGGCCAUGUACGACACUUUCUCCGCUUUCGGAAACAUCCUUAGCUGCAAAGUUGUCAUGGACGAAGACGGUUACUCCAAGGGUUACGGCUUCGUGCAUUUUGAAAGCGAGGAGAUCGCCAACAGGGCCAUAGAUAAGGUGAACGGGAUGCUGCUGAACGACAAGAAGGUGUACGUGGGCAAGUUUGUGCCGAGGAUAGAGCGUGAGAAGGAAAUCGGAGAGAAGGCCAAACAAUUUACGAACAUCUACGUGAAGAACUUCGGACCGCACAUGUCCGACGAGAAGUUCUUCGAGAUUUUUUCCAAGUUUGGAACGGUGACCAGUUGCAUGGUGGCCAGACAUCUGGAAGGUUCGAGCAAAGGGUUUGGGUUCGUGGCUUACGAAGACCCGAGAGCUGCCGAAAGAGCUGUUCAGGAGAUGAGCGGUCGUGAGUACGAAGGAAGAACUCUCUACGUAGGCAGAGCUCAAAAAAAGGCUGAGCGACUGAACGAACUUCGAAAAAAAUACGAACAGCAAAGAAUGGAACGUUUCAACAAGUUCCAGGGAGUCAACGUUUAUGUGAAAAACUUGGACGAUUCUUUCAACGAUGAGAAACUGAGACAGGAAUUUGGUUGUUUUGGAAACAUCAGCUCUGCAAAGGUUAUGACUGAAAACGGCCGAUCAAGAGGAUUCGGCUUUGUCUGUUUUUCUGCUCCGGAAGAAGCAAACAAGGCCAUACAGGAAAUGAACGGGAAGAUCGUAGGCUGCAAGCCGUUGUAUGUGGCCUUGGCUCAAAGAAAAGAGGCUAGACGAGCCUUCUUGACCAGUCAGUACGUAGCUAGAGCCCAGGCAGCAAGAAAUCAAGGAUUGCAGUUUGCCGGUGGGCCGCCCUUUCUUCUUCCUGCAGUCGCCCAAGCCCCCCGUAUUUUUGGCCCCGCUCCAGCUCUAAGGGCGGCUCCCCGUUGGCCGGCCCUUCAAGCGCUGCCUAGGCCGAACGGAGCCGCUUUCGGCCUUCCUUUACUAGGCACGGCUCCAUUUAGGGCUCCAGCAGCGAGACCUGCGCCAGUAAGACCACACGCAAGACCCAUUACAGGUGCCACAGGACCGACCGCUAGACCAAACUCGAAAUAUACAACAAGACAUGGACCGGAGACUCCUCUAGUAGAUGGGCGCUUGCCCCACGCGGCUCCACAGGAACAAAAACAGUUGUUAGAAUUGUGGAGAAACUCCAUCCUGAACUAGCCGGCAAGAUAACAGGAAUGCUGUUGGAAAUUGAUAAUUCGGAACUGUUGCACAUGAUCAAAAAUCAAGAGUCGUUGAGGGCAAAGGUCGAAGAAGCUAUAGCCGUUCUUGAGGCUCACAAAGCCAGCAAAAAGGGGGUCGUCAUACAAGACUGAGUUUACUUCGUGUCAAUAGUUAUAUAUCUGCGUUUUUGCCCAAGAAUGAGUUUUUAGCUGCUUGAACAGUAUGUACUCCUUUUUUUUCGGUUUGAAUUUGAAACAUCCCAACAACGUUUUUACUUGUAGAAGUUUAUGAGACAAUUUUAGUGUGGUUGAAGUUUUAAGCAUUAAUUAUUUUGUACUUUUCAAGUUAAUAAAAUGUUCUAUUUAUUAUUUA